rfam:Lactobacillus ingluviei strain DSM 14792 Scaffold17, whole genome shotgun sequence.
GAUUUAAAUAUGACUCUGCCUAAGACUCAGGUGGCGCGAUCGCCUUAAUACCCUGCCGAGGAAGAAAUGAAAUUCCUUCUCUAUGUCUGCGGUCAUAGGGAUUUUUUUAUAAAUCC